rnacentral:rRNA from 1 species
UACGUAGGGUGCAAGCGUUGUCCGGAAUUAUUGGGCGUAAAGAGCUUGUAGGCGGUUUGUCGCGUCUGCUGUGAAAUUUCGGGGCUCAACCCCGAACUUGCAGUGGGUACGGGCAGACUAGAGUGUGGUAGGGGAGACUGGAAUUCCUGGUGUAGCGGUGAAAUGCGCAGAUAUCAGGAGGAACACCGGUGGCGAAGGCGGAUCUCUGGGCCAUUACUGACGCUGAGGAGCGAAAGCGUGGGGAGCGAACAGG